rnacentral:rRNA from 1 species
CCUACGGGUGGCAGCAGUGGGGAAUAUUGGACAAUGGGGGGAACCCUGAUCCAGCCAUGCCGCGUGUGUGAAGAAGGCCCUCGGGUUGUAAAGCACUUUCAGUGAGGAAGAACGCCUGGUGGUUAAUACCCAUCAGGAAAGACAUCACUCACAGAAGAAGCACCGGCUAACUCCGUGCCAGCAGCCGCGGUAAUACGGAGGGUGCGAGCGUUAAUCGGAAUUACUGGGCGUAAAGCGCGCGUAGGUGGCUUGAUAAGCCGGUUGUGAAAGCCCCGGGCUCAACCUGGGAACGGCAUCCGGAACUGUCAAGCUAGAGUGCAGGAGAGGAAGGUAGAAUUCCCGGUGUAGCGGUGAAAUGCGUAGAGAUCGGGAGGAAUACCAGUGGCGAAGGCGGCCUUCUGGACUGACACUGACACUGAGGUGCGAAAGCGUGGGUAGCAAACAGGAUUAGUACCCCGGUAGUC